GUAGAUCUCUCAAAUGAUAUUGAUCGGAUGCAAGGAAGAUGGAAGUUGAUAUACAGCAGCGCAUUCUCAACUCAUGCACUAGGUGGAAUUCGUCCUGGACUUCCCACUGGAAGGCUUCUUCCUAUAACUCGAGUCCAGGUGUGCUAUGUCAAUUAUCUGCUAGUUUGAUUGCUAUGUUGGCAAUCUACAUUUAUCCAGGGGUGUUUUCAGUGUUUGUAUUGGUCAACUGAGCAUUAGAACAGUGCACAGUUCCUCAAGCAUCUGCGAAAAGUCUUCCACAGGACACAUAUCCAGCAUGUUGAGAGUUGUCAUUCAAGUGAAUUUAGAUCUCUAUUUUGCUCUUAAAGAAAAAACAGUUCAAUAACAGCUGGUCAAGUCAAUCCUCCCAAGCCAUUUAUAAAUGUUGUCAGUUUGAUCGUAAGCAAGCGAUGUUUAGAGAAUAAAAUCUACUGUAAAUUGCUGAUUGUAAUUUUUUUUUUCUGCUUUCUGAAUUUUGGUUUCUUGAUUAGGUCUUCAGUUAAUUGAUGUCUUAAGCAAAUAGUUCUAUAAUAUAGUAUCGCUUGAAUUAGGUACUCCAUGGCCUUCACCAACAUUGAAGUGACUGCAAUAUUAGCCCACAAAUUUGAAUUCAUAGGUUGGUGCUUCUCACUCAUUUCUCCUACAUUUGUUUCUAAAUUUCUUUAUUGUCCUCUAAUUCCACCUGUUAUUGUGGUAUAAUAUUCUUUCUGGUGAGCUAGGGAAUAGUAUAAUCUGAUUGCUUGCGCAUGUAUUGAGAAUAGGAACCGA
rnacentral:misc_RNA from 1 species